CUUAAAGCUUUUGCUGUCACAAAUUGAACCAGAUAUUUCCACACUUGCUGAAGACCAUCAAGCUCAAGGAUCGCAUUGAUAUCAAAGCUGCUGUACAGUGCACAGAGACUGUUGGAGCCUGUGACGUGCAGUUUAGAGCUCAAUCGAGUGAUCUGGUGCUCUGCUGUCCCUGGAGAGGACUGCCAGCACAAGCUGCCUCGUGCAGAAGACCAGGGAUGGGGUGCAGGGAUAUGAUCGACUCCAUUUUGGAGCAUCAAGGAAGAUUGAAGCAUCCAGGCAAAACCAGAGGAGGCAUGAAAUACUGUAACAUUAGGACAAAGACUGUCAGAAUGGGAAACAGCUUCCCCCCCCACGUAAUCAGACUACUGUUCUCCCUGCCAUCACGCAGACCUCAUCAAUUAUGAAGCGC